ensembl:lncRNA
CUGUAAUGCCACCCACCAUGAGCCUUUGUCAGAGCCAGGCAGAAGUUGCUGUCCCCCUCUUGGACUUUGGAAUCUGUAAGCUACGUUAAUGAAAUAAUUUUAAAAGAGUCUUAUUGCCUUAUUUGGGUCUUCGUGUCUUGAUUUUAUCAUCUGGCUCCAAGGCCAGCCCAACUUGGCGUGUGUUCUCUGCUGAGCAUGUUUCAAAAUAACAGAGCCUGUGCUAGUGCAGUUUACGCCGAAAGUCAAGAGUCCGGCAGACUCGAAUCUUUCCUGAAAUUCAUCUAUUUCAUGUCCUGUCAAGUCCACUGCAGUAUUCAUAGAUGAUCAGAAUUUCUGUGUUGCUCCUCACUCCAACAUCUACAGUACAGCUGCACAGAUUAAGCUGUGCUAGCUCCUGGAGGAGAUCUCUGGACAAGGCAUUGACUGCAUCUUCUUGGAGCGCAUCAUGGACACUACUCUUUUGUGUUUGAGAAGUUUCACAUUAGAGAUUGAGUCAUGAAUUACCAAUCUGAGAAAAAAAUGAAUAAUUAAAUAGCUAGAUUUAUAUUGGCAUUUCACAGAGUUAGAUAUUUGAAAUUCCAGCAAUUAAGGAAGGCAAGUAAUUGAAAUUUUUCAUCUUUAAGAAUAAAUUGACAAUUUUCUUCUUAUAUCCAAUGUUAUCUGGUUCACAUGGGCUUAGGCACAAUGAUGGUAGCACACAGAGGAGGUCAUUGAAAGGCUCCUAAUUUGAAGAUCAGCUAUCUCCCAUCCCCAAGAAGAUAGAGAAAGCAGGAAAAAAAUCAGUAUCAAAUUGAUAGGCUUGGCCAUCUGCAGAUGUUUAACCCUAAGAGAUUUCUGUAAAUGGUUGCUAGUAGAGAUGAAUGAAACUCCCAAAUGCAAUAGAAAUAUUUUGAAAGGAGCCUCAACUUUAAAAUGCCUAUAAUGCAAUGAUAUUUGUGAUAUCCAAAGUAAGACUCUACCAUAAGAGGAAGCUGAUUUGUGUAUAUAUGUGUAUAGAGAAAACAAGAAUUGGGAGGUUUUAUCUGGCACCUUCAUGGAAAAGAUGCUGUCCUGGAAAGCACUGAUAUUCUUGGUAUUAGAUGUGUUAGUGCUGUUUCAAGGCAUGGAUCAUUUGUAGACUUCCUCAAAGUCUAAAUUGUGUAUUCUUUCUACCUACUUAACUAUACUUCUGAUCUGUGUUCAUUAAAUAGCCAAUGUGCUACUCUAGUUUCCUAGGAAAGUUUUGCCAGUUAAGUGGAAGCAGCAGCAAAAUGUGAUCGUUAAGAAGGUAGACCUCGAUGUUAGUGGGUUCAAGUCCUGGUUCUUCUACUUCUGAGAUGUGUAGCCUUGGGCACAUUAUAUAAUACUUCUCAUCUUAUCUGUAAAAUUGGGAUAUUUGUAGGCCCCGUCUCACAGAUUUGUUAUUAACUUUAACCACCUUUUCUGUAUAUAAAGCAUUUAAAAUUGUGUUUGGCCCAGAGUAGAGAUAAUUUACAUUUUAUUAACUUAAAAAUGAUAAGAUGUAACUUGUCCCCACAAGUUUUUAGGUUACUAUAAGCAAAAUUUCAGUUUGUUUUACACUAACAACAGUGUAAGCCCUAGUAAAUUUGAUUAGUUUGAUUCAGUCACCUAAACAAAAACAAAGCUUCCUCAAAAAUUAAAUCAACUAUCUGCAGAGUCUGUGUUUAAUCAAAUGAACGUUAAAUUCUGAUACCUGCAUUUUAAAUUGUAAUGCCUAAUGUAAGAAAAGGUAAUAAUAAUGCAAUUUAUUGUUGCAUAAUACAUGUGUAAUAUAAGUAUUUGUAUAAUAAAUCAAAUGAAAAAUCCUACGUCCAGCAUUUAAUUCUACUAAAGUUACUAAAAAAGAUAGUAGGUUAUGACUUUCACAUAUUAAAGUUGCAAAAUUUUAAGAUUUUUGGUCAUUCUUGGUUAGAAAAUUUUAAUUCUUAAAAGUAACUCCACUUCUCAGAUUUGGUAAUAUAGUAUAGUACCUUGUUAAUCCAUGAGAGCACUUUGGAAUUGUGUGAUAACACACCAUUUCUUGGCAAUGCAUGUGGAACUACAAUGCACUAAAAAGGAUGAUUUUUGCAAAUCUAGCCACUUCAGAAAAAAAACACACCAAAACCUAUUUUUAAAAAUAAACAUUUUGAAAAAAUAUUUGACAGUAGAACAAGUCAUAUUUUAAAACUGCCUUUCUGAAAACUGAAUCAAAGUCAUCAAAAUGCAUACCAAAUCUUGAUUUUUCUUCUAUAACAUCAGAAGUUGAUCCAUGAUGAAAUGCAUUUACUUUCUAAUAGGAAUAAUUCAUUUUCAAUUGGCAUUUUAAAAAAAUUUAUUUUUGUUUUGUGAGACAGGGUCUCGCUAUGUAGUUCAUCCUGGCCUUGAACUCACUAUGCUGCUGAGGCUCGCCCAGAACUCAUCCUGCCUCAGCCUCCUGAGUGCUGGGAUUACAGGCAUGUUCCACCAGGCCCAGCUUCAAUGGACUUUUGAAAGUAAAAGGAAAUUCUAUAAAUACCGAUAAUAUCUAUGUUCACUAACCAUUAUUGGUGAUUCGUUGUAGUCUACAGAAAAUAUUUCAAAAGCACAGAAUACUAAAAAUGACCUCAUGGAAUUAAAGUAUUCUUCAGAAAAUAGUGCAACGUGAAAACAGAUUUGUAAGUUACAAAACGACGUGGAAAAAAGAUUUGCAUGCGUAGUCUUUCAAUCUUAUCUCCUGGAAGGUAGUACAAAGAAUAGCAAUUUGCAGAUAAAACCACAAGUCAAAGGGCAGCCCUAGAGUACAUAUUGUGUGAGGAUUCAUUGACUUCACCUGUAGAGCUGAACUGACAGAGUUCCCUUAGUCAGAAGGAGUAUAAAUUGGCUAUAAAAGACCCUCAUUUAUGUAAUGUUUCAUUCCCCAAACAAUGAACAGAAUGUUCCCCACACAAGAAGCACCAUUAACGAUUUUCUGAUGAAUACUGCAACAUUCAUAUUGUGUUUAUUCUGUUGCACCUUCCUUAAAAUAAAUGAUUAGCCUAACUGUCAAUGACAGGGACUAAGGAGAGGGGGAGAAAGUACUAUUAGAAACUUUUCUAAAAUCACUGCCCCCUAUUGACCUAUAAAGAGAAAUCAGAGACUUCUAUGUAAGA